rnacentral:rRNA from 1 species
UACACAUGCAAGUCGAACGAUGAACCUCACUUGUGGGGGGAUUAGUGGCGAACGGGUGAGUAACACGUGAGUAACCUGCCCUUAACUCUGGGAUAAGCCUGGGAAACUGGGUCUAAUACCGGAUAUGACUCCUCAUCGCAUGGUGGGGGGUGGAAAGCUUUAUUGUGGUUUUGGAUGGACUCGCGGCCUAUCAGCUUGUUGGUGAGGUAAUGGCUCACCAAGGCGACGACGGGUAGCCGGCCUGAGAGGGUGACCGGCCACACUGGGACUGAGACACGGCCCAGACUCCUACGGGAGGCAGCAGUGGGGAAUAUUGCACAAUGGGCGAAAGCCUGAUGCAGCGACGCCGCGUGAGGGAUGACGGCCUUCGGGUUGUAAACCUCUUUCAGUAGGGAAGAAGCGAAAGUGACGGUACCUGCAGAAGAAGCGCCGGCUAACUACGUGCCAGCAGCCGCGGUAAUACGUAGGGCGCAAGCGUUAUCCGGAAUUAUUGGGCGUAAAGAGCUCGUAGGCGGUUUGUCGCGUCUGCCGUGAAAGUCCGGGGCUCAACUCCGGAUCUGCGGUGGGUACGGGCAGACUAGAGUGAUGUAGGGGAGACUGGAAUUCCUGGUGUAGCGGUGAAAUGCGCAGAUAUCAGGAGGAACACCGAUGGCGAAGGCAGGUCUCUGGGCAUUAACUGACGCUGAGGAGCGAAAGCAUGGGGAGCGAACAGGAUUAGAUACCCUGGUAGUCCAUGCCGUAAACGUUGGGCACUAGGUGUGGGGGACAUUCCACGUUUUCCGCGCCGUA